rnacentral:rRNA from 1 species
GAUGAACGCUGGCGGCGUGCCUAAUACAUGCAAGUCGAGCGAAUGAUGAGGAGCUUGCUCCUCUGAUUUAGCGGCGGACGGGUGAGUAACACGUGGGUAAUCUGCCUGUAAGACGGGAAUAACUCCGGGAAACCGGGGCUAAUACCGGAUAACAAGAGAAGAAGCAUUUCUUCUUUUUGAAAGUCGGUUUUGGCUGACACUUACAGAUGAGCCCGCGGCGCAUUAGCUAGUUGGUGAGGUAACGUCUCACCAAGGCGACGAUGCGUAGCCGACCUGGGAGGGUGAUCGGCCACACUGGGACUGAGACACGGCCCAGACUCCUACGGGAGGCAGCAGUAGGGAAUCUCCGGCAAUGGGCGAAAGCCUGACCGAGCAACGCCGCGUGAGCGAUGAAGGCCUUCGGGUCGUAAAGCUCUGUUGUUAGAGAAGAACAAGUACGAGAGUAACUGCUCGUACCUUGACGGUACCUAACCAGAAAGCCACGGCUAACUACGUGCCAGCCGCCGCGGUAA